rnacentral:rRNA from 1 species
UGGGGAAUAUUGGACAAUGGGCGAAAGCCUGAUCCAGCCACGCCGCGUGUGUGAAGAAGGUCUUCGGAUUGUAAAGCACUUUAAGUUGGGAGGAAGGGCAGUAAGCGAAUACCUUGCUGUUUUGACGUUACCGACAGAAUAAGCACCGGCUAACUCUGUGCCAGCAGCCGCGGUAAUACAGAGGGUGCAAGCGUUAAUCGGAAUUACUGGGCGUAAAGCGCGCGUAGGUGGUUCGUUAAGUUGAAUGUGAAAGCCCCGGGCUCAACCUGGGAACUGCAUCCAAAACUGGCGGGCUAGAGUAGGGCAGAGGGUGGUGGAAUUUCCUGUGUAGCGGUGAAAUGCGUAGAUAUAGGAAGGAACACCAGUGGCGAAGGCGACCACCUGGGCUCAUACUGACACUGAGGUGCGAAAGCGUGGGGAGCAAACAGG